UAUCUGGGACGGAAGGCCUCUUGUGUGGCUUCCUUUUUAGUGCCCCAGGGAACAAAUGUGCCCAAUCGGGGGACUCCUGAGGAAGCAUCUCCUGAGGGGGCGUCUCCUGAGGAGGCGUCCGCUGCAAGGGUGAGUCCUCAUAGUCCACCAUAGGAGCCCCGGAAAGUGUGGGCCCCCGUGGUGAAAAUUCACCCUGUGGUGCCGUCUCAUCUGCCGUCUCAGGCUGGAGAGGGGACCAGUCGGGGGUCGCGGAAGAGUAACGAGGGGACAUCACCGAAGAAAGCCCCCGCUCCUGUUCUUCAUCCCGAAAGUCGAUCAGGAGAGGCGAGGAGGCCGUGGGUCCCCCUGGUGAUCCCAGAGGAAGCCUCCUGCGAGAUGCAGGAAUAAGCUGGGUGGGCGGAGCCUCGCCGAGGGUGUCCUGGGCAGGCCCGCUGUCCGUGGCCCGGGGCUGUGUCACCCUCUGCUCCUUGGGUGGUUCCGGUCGACGAGGAAGGAAGAUCGGGGCAACCCGUGCUGGAGGGAUUGCAUCCCGAUCCACCUCAGGAGACCAAUCUGGAGCCACGGCGUCGGUGCUGGUAGCCACCGAGACCCGGGCGACGACCCGAGCCGGAGGGCUGCUAGCCCGUACCACCCCAGGAGCCCCGUCAGGGCCCGUAGGGUCAGUAUGGGUGCCCACCGAUACCCGGGUGGCGGUCUGGACCGGCAAGGACUGGGCCGGGCGUACCACCUCCGCGUUGACAGGGGGGUCGGCGAAGGCCGCGACGAUCAGAGCCUCGGCCUUCCCGAGGGUGUCCCCCAUCAGUCUGCGUCCCAGAUGUUUCUUGGCCCAUGUAGAGGCCAGCUGAAAAGCGGGUCUCCAAACCUCGUCAAUAAAACUGGUUAUCUUGUCCAA